rnacentral:lncRNA from 1 species
GCCUUCUUCUGGAACUGGGUAAGCAGUGCACUUUCAUGGAGGGAUUCUUCAUAACUAUUUGGCACAGCUCUCCCUUCAGCAAGACAUCACCCAUUGCUCUCACCAGGAGACUGUGCACAGGAGUGUUGAAGAAACACACUCAGUGCAAGGGUGGCUUUGUGUGGAGAUGGAUAAGAGGAGGGCACGGGACAUUGCCAGCCACGAGCAGCUGUACCUUGGCAGGUUGGCACAGUAUCUGACCAGUGACCGUCUUCUCGGCAGGUUGCCCUCGCAGAGCCAUUCAGUGAUUGCCCCUCUGGGCACUGGAAGGCGCAGGUUGAUCCAUAGCUAAAGUUUCCCCAGGGACUGGAACAGUUCAUUGCUAUUGCUGUGUCCAUGUGCAAUUCGGAGCACUUGACGGCUGUGAGGGAGGAUGAAGAAUGUGUGAGAAGCAGAAUGUGUGCUGAAGGGAGCAUUGCGGUUUGCUUUGAGCCCAACUGGAAUUUUCAAUCGAUGGAGUGGAUGCGAAAUGUCACGAUGGAGGUCAGUCACACCCAAGAGUUACACACAGUAGCUCUUAAAAUAACACCUUGCUGAAGCAUCCACUGAAAUAAUACUAGCCAGAGAACAAGGAUGGCCCAUGGAAUCACGUAAUAAAGAUCAGCAAAUGGACUCUUCUUGCUUCCAAAAAGACUCCUUACAAAAUUUGCCCUUCUCAAACACUAUUGAAUCUGUAUCUAUGUGUUAUUAUUGAUGUGUUGUGAGUAAUGGGCCAUGCCAGCAUGUGAUUAACAAAAUAUUUAUUUAGCAUUCCCUACAGCUGGACACUAGAAGUUUGGAAGAAAGAGAAGUCACGAUUCUCUCUAAACCAUUUUUUAAAAAGUAGCUUCGGAU